rnacentral:rRNA from 1 species
UACGUAGGGCGCAAGCGUUGUCCGGAAUUAUUGGGCGUAAAGAGCUCGUAGGCGGUUUGUCGCGUCUGCUGUGAAAACCUAAGGCUCAACCUUGGGCUUGCAGUGGGUACGGGCAGACUAGAGUGCGGUAGGGGUGACUGGAAUUCCUGGUGUAGCGGUGAAAUGCGCAGAUAUCAGGGGGAACACCGGUGGCGAAGGCGGGAUCCUGGGCCAGUACUGACGCUGAGGAGCGAAAGCGUGGGGAGCAAACAGG